rnacentral:rRNA from 1 species
UACGAAGGGGACUAGCGUUGUUCGGAAUUACUGGGCGUAAAGCGCGCGUAGGCGGAUUUGUUAGUCAGGGGUGAAAUCCCGGGGCUCAACCUCGGAACUGCCUUUGAUACUGCAAGUCUCGAGUCCGAUAGAGGUGGGUGGAAUUCCAGGUGUAGCGGUGAAAUGCGUAGAUAUCGAGAGGAACACCUGCGGCGAAGGCGGGUUGCUGGGCUGAUACUGACGCUGAGGCGCGAAAGCCAGGGGAGCGAACGGG